rnacentral:rRNA from 1 species
UACGAAGGGGGCUAGCGUUGCUCGGAAUUACUGGGCGUAAAGCGCACGUAGGCGGCUUCUUAAGUCGGAGGUGAAAUCCUGGAGCUCAACUCCAGAACUGCCUUCGAUACUGGGAGCUCGAGUCCGGGAGAGGUGAGUGGAACUGCGAGUGUAGAGGUGAAAUUCGUAGAUAUUCGCAAGAACACCAGUGGCGAAGGCGGCUCACUGGCCCGGUACUGACGCUGAGGUGCGAAAGCGUGGGGAGCAAACAGGAUUAGA